UACAGAGGUCUCAAGCGUUGUUCGGAUUCAUUGGGCGUAAAGGGUGCGUAGGUGGCGCUGUAAGUCGGGUGUGAAAUUUCGGAGCUUAACUCCGAAACUGCAUUUGAUACUGCGGUGCUUGAGGACUGGAGAGGAGACUGGAAUUCAUGGUGUAGCAGUGAAAUGCGUAGAGAUCAUGAGGAAGACCAGUGGCGAAGGCGGGUCUCUGGACAGUUCCUGACACUGAGACACGAAGGCCAGGGGAGCAAACGGG
rnacentral:rRNA from 1 species